rnacentral:sRNA from 1 species
GUACUCGGAGGGAUCAUUACCGAGUUUACAACUCCCCAAACCCAAUGUGAACGUUACCAAACUGUUGCCUCGGCGGGAUCUCUGCCCCGGGUGCGUCGCAGCCCCGGACCAAGGCGCCCGCCGGAGGACCAACCUAAAACUCUUAUUGUAUACCCCCUCGCGGGUUUUUUUUAUAAUCUGAGCCUUCUCGGCGCCUCUCGUAGGCGUUUCGAAAAUGAAUCAAAACUUUCAACAACGGAUCUCUUGGUUCUGGCAUCGAUGAAGAACGCAGCGAAAUGCGAUAAGUAAUGUGAAUUGCAGAAUUCAGUGAAUCAUCGAAUCUUUGAACGCACAUUGCGCCCGCCAGUAUUCUGGCGGGCAUGCCUGUCCGAGCGUCAUUUCAACCCUCGAACCCCUCCGGGGGGUCGGCGUUGGGGAUCGGCCCUCCCUUAGCGGGUGGCCGUCUCCGAAAUACAGUGGCGGUCUCGCCGCAGCCUCUCCUGCGCAGUAGUUUGCACACUCGCAUCGGGAGCGCGGCGCGUCCACAGCCGUUAAACACCCAACUUCUGAAAUGUUGACCUCGGAUCAGGUAGGAAUACCCGCUGAACUUAAGCAAUAUAAAAAGGGGGGAAGAAAAA